rnacentral:rRNA from 1 species
CAGCUACACAUGCAGUCGAGCGGUAGAGAGAAGCUUGCUUCUCUUGAGAGCGGCGGACGGGUGAGUAAUGCCUAGGAAUCUGCCUGGUAGUGGGGGAUAACGUCCGGAAACGGACGCUAAUACCGCAUACGUCCUACGGGAGAAAGCAGGGGACCUUCGGGCCUUGCGCUAUCAGAUGAGCCUAGGUCGGAUUAGCUAGUUGGUGGGGUAAUGGCUCACCAAGGCGACGAUCCGUAACUGGUCUGAGAGGAUGAUCAGUCACACUGGAACUGAGACACGGUCCAGACUCCUACGGGAGGCAGCAGUGGGGAAUAUUGGACAAUGGGCGAAAGCCUGAUCCAGCCAUGCCGCGUGUGUGAAGAAGGUCUUCGGAUUGUAAAGCACUUUAAGUUGGGAGGAAGGGCAGUAAAUUAAUACUUUGCUGUUUUGACGUUACCGACAGAAUAAGCACCGGCUAACUCUGUGCCAGCAGCCGCGGUAAUACAGAGGGUGCAAGCGUUAAUCGGAAUUACUGGGCGUAAAGCGCGCGUAGGUGGUUCGUUAAGUUGGAUGUGAAAUCCCCGGGCUCAACCUGGGAACUGCAUUCAAAACUGACGAGCUAGAGUAUGGUAGAGGGUGGUGGAAUUUCCUGUGUAGCGGUGAAAUGCGUAGAUAUAGGAAGGAACACCAGUGGCGAAGGCGACCCCUGGACUGAUACUGACACUGAGUGCGAAAGCGUGGGGAGCAACAGGAUUAGAGACCCUGGUAGUCCACGCCGUAAACGAUGUCAACUAGCCGUUGGGAGCCUUGAGCUCUUAGUGGCGCAGCUAACGCAUUAAGUUGACCGCCUGGGGAGUACGGCCGUACAAGGUUAGGGCCGAAACGAAUUGACGGGGCCCGCACAAGCGGUGGAGCAUGUGGUUUAUUCGAGCACGCGAGACCUUACCAGCCUUGACAUCCAAUGAACUUUCUA